ACUGACCGUGUUUACCGACACAGAAACACUGAGACUCCACAAACACUUCAUCUAACUUUAUUCUACUUUGAUUCUUCUUUGACCUGUUUCCAUUAAAUGAAACUCAGACUUUUUCGCUUCAUUCAUAAUAAUUUUAUUUCUGUUUGAUUAAAUUCCUCCCGGUAAUAUCUGGAACUCUCUCCGGUCUCCGUGGGUCCGUCAUGGUCCUGUCCUCGGUCAGUAAGAUGAAGGUGUUCCAACUGCGGUUCUCGGACCCGGGCAGGUCCUUCUACAGCAGCGGGGACAAACUGUCCGGCUCCGUGCAGUUGGAGGCGACUCAGCCCUGCAGAGUGUCCGGCCUCAGAGUCACCGCCGCCGGCUGCGCCCGCGUGGAGCACCGCGGCGGGAAGAACCGGAGGAGCCGCAGCCAGGAGGUGGAGUACCUGAAGUACGAAGAGGAGCUGAGGCUGGAGGAGCAGCUCAGCAAAGACUCUGACGGCUGUUUCCUGCUGCAGCCCGGGAAAACCUACAGCUUCCAGUUCGGCUUUGAGCUUCCGGCUCCGGGGCGCCUGGUCUCAUCCUAUAAAGGGAAGUUCGGUUAUGUCCGGUACUACGCCCGGGCGGAGCUGGACAGGCCUUCCCAGCAUGCUUUGCAGUGUGAGAGGGAGUUUGAGGUGGAGGAGCCGCUGGACGUCAACAGACCGGACCUACUGGCUCCGGCUGCCGCCUCCAAACAGAAGAAGGUCACCUGUAUGUUCAUACCUGACGGCCAGGUGUCCAUCAGCGCUCAGAUUGACAGGAAGGGGUUCUGCGAGGGCGAGGACAUCAGCAUCAAUGCCAAGUUUGAGAACACGUGUUCUCGUAUUGUGGUGCCGAAGGCCGCCAUUGUCGCCAAACACACGUACCUGGCCAACGGACGCAGCAAGGUGCUGCGUCAGAAACUGUCGGCAGUCCGAGGAAACCACAUCAUCUCUGGGAUGUGCGACAUGUGGCAGGGAAAGACCAUCAGGGUCCCCAAACUGAAACCGUCCCUGCUGGACUGUGACAUCAUCCAGGUGGACUACGCCCUCAUGAUCUACCUGCACAUCCCCGGCAGCGAGAAGCUGGUCCUGGAGCUGCCCCUGGUCAUCGGUACGGUCCCAUUCAGUGGUGUCGGCAGCCGGACCAGCAGCAUGAGCAGCCAGGUCGGGUCCCUGGGGAGUCAGGCUGGGUCCCUGAGCAGCUGGUCCUCCUUCCCCUCGGCCCCCCCCAGCUACAGUAACAUCCACAGAGACCUGAGGGUGGACGGCCCCCGCACCCCGCUGCUCCACGACUACGACGGCGGCGAGGACGACGACGAGGAGGGCGGACUCUUCAUGAGGGCACCUGAACUGUACUAUCCCCCUCCCCCCGCAUACAGCGAGGUGGAUCAGGACCCUGUGAAACCUCCUCAGGUCGUCCAGGUCUUCUGACGACGUCCUGUUAACACCUGUCUGGGGGCGGAGCCUGAGCUCAGUGAUCGACAGAACCAGAGGAACCAGAGGAACUCAGGAUUACACUUGUUGGAAAAACUGGAGUUGGAAAGAGUGCAGUAGGAAACACCAUCUUAGGAAGAAAAGCUUUUGAAUCUAAACUGUCCAUGUCCUCAGUGACAUCAAAGUGUAAAAAGAAAA